ACUCGGAUUUCACAAGUCGUGGUUGCUUCAUUCCGGAAAUCUUCUGUCAAAGUCCCUGAAGACCCCACGCUUCUGUAUGAAACACAAGACAAGAGCUCUGCUAUUGCUGGAAGUAGAAAGAUCGAGCAUACCAAUGAUAGCAAGUAUCUUGACAAAGCCGCUGUUAUCUCAGAAGAAGAGUUAAAGUCUGGAGAUUUUUCCAACUCGUGGAGACUAUGCACUGUAA